UUACCCUUUUAUUUUGUUUAGGCAGAGGGAGAGAAGGAGAGCGGCGGAGCAAGCGGUGGAGAUUUCCCUCUGUUCAUGGCGAUUCUAAGCUCCUCCACCGGUGGAUUCUGAUUUCUUCUCCAUUCUCCCCACGGCCUGCUGCUGAUGUGGUUAGCCGUCCUCCUCUCUCGCAUUUUGCUCGUGUUUUUUUGCGGCUGUGUGCUUCUAGAUUUAGAAAUUUCAUGUGUCUGUGCUUUCGUUUGUAGGUGCCUUUUGGGAUCCCUGGCAGGUGUAUGUUGUUGUUGUGGUGUUUUUUUGGUUCCCCGGGGCUCGGUGAUUCGGAGGCGUUGGUGAUUUCUCGUGGCCUCCUCGGUUUUUGCUGUGGUAUUCUGUGAGCCCUGUGUGUAUCCUCUUCCCGAUGCAAGGUUAGUUUGCCGGUACCCCCUCCCCUUUGUCGCUAGAUCUGGCAUUUUGUUGUGGUGUUUUGCUUCAAUAUGUGUAGGAUUUCGCUAGAUCUGGCGUUCUGUGUGUUAGUGCUCGUGUAGGAUUUCGCUGAAGUGGAACUAGAUGCAGCAAACGUCUGGAUCUAUGUGGAUGUUGGAGUGCUCGAUGUAGUUGUCCAGGUGUCCUUUCAUGCAAUUUCUUUCCCUUUUUGUGUGGAUGUAACUAGCGAAAUCUAGCUCGUAGGGUUAUCUCUGUAAGUGUGCAUGUGGGUUGUCAGUGAGUUGUAGUGAUUGUGAUUGAAUAUUUUUCAGCUAAUCCACUCAACUUUAGUUGUGGUGCUGGUGUUUUUAGCAUUUUUGGAUGAUGAAAUGCAUGUGUUUAGUUUCCUAGUUACCCUAGAUUUUACCUAGUAUUUCCAGUGUACUUUGUCCCAGCUUUUGAGUUGAUUUCCAUUGUAAGUGUAAUGUAUUUUGUCAGUGUAAUUUAUUCCAGUGUUUUAAUGUACUUUGUCCCAUCUUUUUCAGUGCCAAUGAUUCCAUUGUAGUCUGUUUUAUGAGUGGAUUUAUAGUGUAAUUUUAAUGUAUGUUCAAUGUAAUUCAUCUCAGUUUUCAGUGAAUUUUUUACCAAUAACUCGAGUGUAUUUUUCCCAAUAAUAGCACUCUAAUUUGUCAUCGGAUUUUAGUAGACUGUAAUUUAAAUGUAUUUGCAGUGUACUUCAGUGUAUUUGUAUUCGGAUUUCAAUGGACUGUAAUUUGAUUGAAACUACUUUAUCGGAGUUAUAGUCGGAAUCCAAAGCAAUUUCUUAAUAGAAUCACAACAUAUUUGUUAGUGUUGUUGUGUAUUUUAUUAUUGGAGUUGCAGUGUAAUUGCAUGAAUAGUGUAAUCCUAGUUUUGAUUUUUCUUAUUGGGUGUUUUUUGUUAGUAUUUAGUAUCUGUUUUUCAAUGUAAAUUUAGUGCAGUUGCACUGUAACAGUAUUUGAUAGGUGAUUUACAGUGUAAUUCCACUGUAAGUAUUGAUAUCUGAUUUACAGUGUAAAUUCAGUGUAAUUCUGCAGUAAUUUUGAGUGUACUCCGAGUGUAAUUGUUCCGUUGGCGAUUUUGUUCGUUGGAUUCAGUAUUUUCCACCCUCCCCUUUUGUUGUUGUUGUGAUGUGUUAGCUAGAGAGUAUGAUUUGUGUGUUGGAUCUGUUUGUUGUAUCUGCCUAUAGCUAUUUCCCGUGUAGAUUUUGUGAGGCUGGGUCGUUCGCUUGAUGCUUUCAAUUGAUUUGGUAAUUGCGGUAGUUGGGGUAGGUCUAUUUGGCUUGUUUACUUCUAGUAGUCUGGUGUAUCCAGUUUGUAGGAUUCUUGUCAUGUUUUGAUGAAUAAAGUGAUUCGUCAUUUUUACAGGGCCACCUACCAUUUACAUUGUCAUGUUUUGAAAUAACUGUGUAAUUUAACCUACAUUUACAUUGUAAUCUAACCUUAUUUUACUCCGUAAUACUUCAUUUGUAGUUCUCAACUCUGAAUGUAAUUUACACCGUAUUAUGUCCCAAUUUUAAGCGUAAUUUUGUGCUAUAUUUAUAGUAUAAUAUAUCCCAAUUCUCAGUGUAAUUUUCACUAUAUCUACUGUGUAAUUGUCCCGUAGUUUCAGUGUAAUACCCAACAUACUUUCACUCUAAUUUUCACUCUAGCUACUGUGCAUUUUGUCCCGUACUUUCAAUGUAACUCAGCGUAUAGUUUCAGUGUAAUUUUCACUGGAAUUACUGUGUAAUUUGAUCAGUAGUUUGUUUGUGGUGUUCUUUUUACUGUGUUAUUUACACUAGAGUUACAGUGUAGUUUUCAUCGUAACUACUGUGUAAUUUGUGUGAGAGCUACAGUUAUGAUGUUUUUUCACCAAGUGCUCAAUUAUUGUGUAAUUUGUAGUAUACUUCCACUGUAGUCUGUCCUUUUUCAGUUGAUUCCAUAUUUACACUGUAAUGUCAACUAUUGUAAUUUAUUGUAGUAUAUUUUUACCCAUAAUUCCACUGCAUUUUUACCCUUUUUUGCAG
rnacentral:lncRNA from 1 species